rnacentral:lncRNA from 1 species
CCAAUCUGCAGGAAUCAUGACCCCUUCUUUCAUGUCCGUGACCGCUGCUGGAGUACAUGAUCAAAUCCAGGUUCUGUCGUGUUUGUCUCUGCCUGGUCCUGAGCCCACAGUAGCCUUCAAGUUUGUUUACUAGUUAUUUUUCUGUUUUCUUUCUUGAGAAUUCAGUGAUGUUGAAAAUAGUAGGUUUAAUUUCUCAUGUUCUUCCUUAAAAAAUGGAUUUUGCUGUGAGGAUAGAUGAUCAUCUUGUAACUACUCGCCAACAUUGUAUUACAGUGAACUUCAGGAAGGAAGACCCUGCUGGCUGGGAGAUGGAGAAUUUGCUGCUGUGUUCUGGCUCAGGGUGUCCCAGGGCUUUCAUCACCCAGCAGGAGCACCAGGUCUCCAGGAUGCAGCUGGGGUGAGGCCCACUUCUGUCCAGUGCCCACGGGGGCCUCCUCCUCGCAGGUCAUCCAGAUUCAGGGAUUCCGGCGUGUGGAUUUUCAGUUGCUGUUCAGCUGCAAGCAGGAGGCCCCUGGGGAGGGAAACUUCUGUUGGGGCAGUUCUGGGCCAAGAGGAGGAGUUGACCACUAAAUGCUCCUGGAGAGGAAGCCCUGCAGCCUCCAGAGAGGGAAAUGGUAAAUAUCCCAGAAAUCAUAUGCAUUAGGCAAAAGUUUUGAGCCAGAAAUUCUGCUUCUAGGAAAUUAUCCUGAACAAUAAUUAGAAAAGUCAUCAAUCUUUUUAUCCUAUAAGGAGGCUUAUCACAGUAGUAUGGACAGGAAUGCGGAUGAGAGAGCUGAAUGUCCAGUGAUAGGGUAGGAGAGAAAUAAGCCUACCAGCAUGAGGGAAAACGAACUUUAAGGAAUAACACAAAAAUGCAUGUAGUGACUUGGGAAAAUGACAGUUGCAGAGUGAAUAUUAAGCCAAGUUGCAAAGCAAGCACUCUGCACGUGUGCCUUAAGAAUCUACAGCCAUGUUCAUGUUUCUGAGUGAAAUAGAGAUGGCCCUUGAAACACCACGUUCUUACCUUGACCUUAAGGUUCUGGAGCGGCAUGAUGGUUUUAGGAAAAAGGAUUCUUAAAGGCAUGUGCUGUGUCUUAGCAGAGGAAGGAGACUUCCUUUUUAAAACAUUUUAAAUUAAUUACAGAUUGCAAAGAAGGAAGGAAGGGGUCCGUAACUCUUCAGUCCACUUGUCCUGAUAACUAGACCUUGCAUAACUCAAGAGAGCAUCAAAAUCAGGAAGAUGACAUUGUGCAUCUUAUAUUCAUGUUCUGCCAGGUCCCGUGUGCUCGUGUGUGUCUCUGUGUAUUUGCAGGUGUCUGCACUUUAUCAUGUGUGUGCUUUGGAGUAGCCAGCAGCACAGUCAAGGCAGGCAACUGUACCUAGUCACAAAACUCCUCACCCUUCCUCUUCCUCCCUCCAUUCAUGACCUUGUCCAGCCAUGGUUGCCAUCUUUAUCACCUGUCCACAUCUUUGCAAUGUUAUCUCACAAAUGCUGUAUCACACGCAGUCUGGAACCUCUGGAGAUUGCCUUUUCCACUCAGGAUAAUUUCUUUGAUAGUUAAACAACUGUUGAAUGUGUCAAGACUUCAUUUCUUUUUAUGACUGACUAGUAUUCUGCCCUGUGGCUACAACACAGUUUAACUCUUCACCCAAUAAAGUUUUUCUGGGUAGUUUUCAGUUUAGAGCCAUUAGGACUAAAGCUGCUAAGAACAUUAUCAGACAAGUUUUUGCAGAUAAAUCAGCUUCCGUUUAUUUGGAAUUAAUGCCCAAGAAUGCAGUGGCUAUGUUGUAUGGUAAGUUUAGUUUUAAAAGAACUUUUUUUCCAGAGUGGCUGUACCCUUUGACAUUGUCAUGUUUGAGUGAUCCAGGUUCUUAGCAUCUUCAUCAAUAUUUGUGUUCAAUGAGAGGGGGAGGGAGUGAGAGAGAGAGAGAGAGAGAGAAGUUAGAACAACAUACAUUGAAAUGUGCAGUCUUGAGCAAUAAUUUCCAUGUUGGUAGCAUCAUAAUACCUGCUCUCAAGUUAUACUACAAAGCUACAGGAACAAGACCUGCAUACCGGGCAUCAAAACAGACAUGAAAACACAUGGAGCAGCAGAGACACAGAGGCAAACCCAUAUGGAGUCUUCUUAUCCUUGACAAAGAUGCCAAAAACAUUCACUGGAGAAAAGACAGCCUUUUAACAAACAGUGCUGGGAAAACUGGGUAUCCAUAUGUAGAAGAAUGAGACUAGGUCCCUAUCUCUCGCCCUGACCAGAAGUCAAUGCAGGGUGCAUCAAAGACCAGGAAAUUAGACCAGAAACUUCACAACUUCUAGAAACUCAACACUUCAACAUCUUGAGGCAGGCACCGGCUUCCUUAAUAAGACUCCUAAAACUCAAGAGACAAAACCAAGAACAAAUAAGCAGGACAACAUCAAAUGAAAAAGCUUCUGCACACUGAAGCAAACAAGAGCGUCAGAGAGAGCCUACAGAAUGGGAGAUCUCUGCCACCUGCUCCUCUGACAGACGAUUAAUAUCCAGACUAUAUAAAGAACUCAAACUUAACACCAGAGCACACAACCAAGGAACCCAAUGAAUAAGUAGGCAAAUGAGCCAAACGGACAUUUCUCAAAAGAAGAAAUGCAAAUGGCCUACAAAUACACGAAAAAAAUAUUCAACAUCCUUUGCAAUCAGGGACAUGCAAAUCAAAAUUGCAUUGAGAUUUCAUCCCACUCCACUUAGAUUGCCAGGCAUGGAGAAUACAAAUAGUGGUAAGUACUGGAGAGGUUGUGGGAAUAAAGGUGAACUCAUUCAUUGUGGCUGGGACUGCAAAUUAGCAAUCUCUCUGGAAAGCAGUAUGGAGAUUCCUCAAUAGACUAGGAAUGGACCCACCAUAGGACCCAGCUAUCCCACUCCUCAGUAUUAAUCUAAAAGAACUAAAACCAGUAUACUAUAGUGAUACAGCUACAUCAAUGUUUAUAGCAGCAUAAUAGCCAAGUGAUGGAACUAGCCCAGAUGUCUGUCAACAGAUGAAUGGAUAAAGAAAAUGUGGUAGAUACACACAAUAGAGUUUUACUCAGCCAUAAAGAAGAAUGAAAUUGUGUCAUUUGCUGGUAAAUGGAUGGAACUGGAGAACAUUAUCUUAAGUGAAAUAAGCCAGACCCAGAAAAUCAAGGAUUGAAUGGUUUAUCUCAUAUGUGGAAGCUAAAGAGAGAAAAGGAAUUAAUAUUAAAAGGAUCUCAUAUAAAUAGAAGGGAGAACAAUGCAGUGUAUGGAGGGAAUUAGAAGAAAGGAGGAGUGGGAAAGGAGAGAAACUGCAGAAUGAAAUUGUCCGGGUUAUGGUACGUGCAUGUGUGGAUAUAUCACAAUAAAUUCUACCUCUAUGUAUAGCUAUAGUUCAUGAUUAGAAACAAUGAAGAAAUAGAAGGAAGACCAAUAGGUAGAGGAAGGAGGUCUGGGGAAGGAGGAGGGGAGGGAAGGAAAAGUCCUAGGGACUGAAAUAGAACGAAUUAUGUUACAUGCCUUUAUAAAUACAUCAAAAUGAACUCAUUAUCAUGUAGACCUAAAUGCACUAAUAAUCCAUCAAUAAGUCUUCCUUAAAAAUGGUUGCCCACGUUUUUACCACAUGCAUAUCAGAGCACUAAUCUCCAGGAUAUAUAAAGAGCUCAAAAGGCUUACACCAAAAAAAAAAAAAAAAAAAAAACCAAAUAACCCAAUCAAUAAAUGGGCCAAGAAGCUGAAGAUGAAAUACAAUCUUCUCAAAAGACGAAAUACAAUCAAUCAACAAAUAUACGAAAACAUUUUCACAAUCUCUAGCAGUUAGAGAAAUGCAAAUCAAAACUACUCUAAGAUUUCAUCUCACUGCAGUCAGAAUGGCAGCUAUUAAGAAUACAAGCAACAAUAAGUGUUGGUGAGGAUGUGGGGGAAAAGGCACACUCUAACAUUGAUGUGGCUGUUGUANUCAUUUCUUUUUAUGACUGACUAGUAUUCUGCCCUGUGGCUACAACACAGUUUAACUCUUCACCCAAUAAAGUUUUUCUGGGUAGUUUUCAGUUUAGAGCCAUUAGGACUAAAGCUGCUAAGAACAUUAUCAGACAAGUUUUUGCAGAUAAAUCAGCUUCCAUUUAUUUGGAAUUAAUGCCCAAGAAUGCAGUGGCUAUGUUGUAUGGUAAGUUUAGUUUUAAAAGAACUUUUUUUUCCAGAGUGGCUGUACCCUUUGACAUUGUCAUGUUUGAGUGAUCCAGGUUCUUAGCAUCUUCAUCAAUAUUUGUGUUCAAUGAGAGGGGGAGGGAGUGAGAGAGAGAGAGAGAGAGAGAGAGAGAGAGAGAGAGAGAGAGAAGUUAGAACAACAUACAUUGAAAUGUGCAGUCUUGAGCAAUAAUUUCCAUGUUGGUAGCAUCAUAAUACAUGAUCUCAAGUUAUACUACAAAGCUACAGGAACAAGACCUGCAUACCGGGCAUCAAAACAGACAUGAAAACACAUGGAGCAGCAGAGACACAGAGGCAAACCCAUAUGGAGUCUUCUUAUCCUUGACAAAGAUGCCAAAAACAUUCACUGGAGAAAAGACAGCCUUUUAACAAACAGUGCUGGGAAAACUGGGUAUCCAUAUGUAGAAGAAUGAGACUAGGUCCCUAUCUCUCGCCCUGCCCAGAAGUCAAUGCAGGGUGCAUCAAAGACCAGGAAAUUAGACCAGAAACUUCACAACUUCUAGAAACUCAACACUUCAACAUCUUGAGGCAGGCACCGGCUUCCUUAAUAAGACUCCUAAAACUCAAGAGACAAAACCAAGAACAAAUAAGCAGGACAACAUCAAAUGAAAAAGCUUCUGCACACUGAAGCAAACAAGAGCAUCAGAGAGAGCCUACAGAAUGGGAGAUCUCUGCCACCUGCUCCUCUGACAGGGGAUUAAUAUCCAGAUAUAUAAAGAACUCAAACUUAACACCAGAGCACACAACCAAGGAACCCAAUGAAUAAGUAGGCAAAUGAGCCAAACGGACAUUUCUCAAAAGAAGAAAUGCAAAUGGCCUACAGAUACACGAAAAAAAUAUUCAACAUCCUUUGCAAUCAGGGACAUGCAAAUCAAAAUUGCAUUGAGAUUUCAUCUCACUCCGCUUAGAUUGCCAGGCAUGGAGAAUACAAAUAGUGGUAAGUAAUGGAGAGGUUGUGGGAAUAAAGGUGCACUCAUUCAUUGUGGCUGGGACUGCAAAUUAGCAACCUCUCUGGAAAGCAGUAUGGAGAUUCCUCAAUAGACUAGGAAUGGAACCACCAUAGGAGCCAGCUAUCCCACUCCUCAGUAUUAAUCUAAAAGAACUAAAACCAGUAUACUAUAGUGAUACAGCUACAUCAAUGUUUAUAGCAGCAUAAUAGCCAAGUGAUGGAACUAGCCCAGAUGUCUGUCAACAGAUGAAUGGAUAAAGAAAAUGUGGUAGAUACACACAACAGAGUUUUACUCAACCAUAAAGAAGAAUGAAAUUGUGUCAUUUGCUGGUAAAUGGAUGGAACUGGAGAACAUUAUCUUAAGUGAAAUAAGCCAGACCCAGAAAAUCAAGGGUUGAAUGGUUUAUCUCAUAUGUGGAAGCUAAAGAGAGAAAAGGAAUUAAUAUUAAAAGGAUCUCAUAUAAAUAGAAGGGAGAACAAUGGAGUGUAUGGAGGGAAUUGGAAGAAAGGAGGAGUGGGAAAGGAGAGAAACUGCAGAAUGAAAUUGUCCAGGUUAUGCUACGUGCAUGUGUGGAUAUAUCACAAUAAAUUCUACCUCUAUGUAUAGCUAUAGUUCAUGAUUAGAAACAAUGAAGAAAUAGAAGGAAGACCAAUAGGUAGAGGAAGGAGGUCUGGGGAAGGAGGAGGGGAGGGAAGGAAAAGUCCUAGGGAUUGAAAUAGAACGAAUUAUGUUACAUGCCUUUAUAAAUACAUCAAAAUGAACUCAUUAUCAUGUAGACCUAAAUGCACUAAUAAUCCAUCAAUAAGUCUUCCUUAAAAAUGGUUGCCCACGUUUUUACCACAUGCAUAUCAGAGCACUAAUCUCCAGGAUAUAUAAAGAGCUCAAAAAGCUUACACAAAAAAAAAACAAAUAACCCAAUCAAUAAAUGGGCCAAGAAGCUGAAGAUGAAAUACAAUCUUCUCAAAAGAUGAAAUACAAUCAAUCAACAAAUAUACGAAAACAUUUUCACCAUCUCUAGCAAUUAGAGAAAUGCAAAUCAAAACUACUCUAAGAUUUCAUCUCACUGCAGUCAGAAUGGCAGCUAUUAAGAAUACAAGCAACAAUAAGUGUUGGUGAGGAUGUGGGGGAAAAGACACACUCUUACAUUGUUGUUGGGACUGCAAAUUGGUGCAGCCACUCUGGAAAGCAGUAUGGAGAUUCCUUGGAAAACUUGGAAUGGAACCACCAUUUGACCCAGUUAUCCUAUUCCUCAGUUUUAUACCCAAAGGACGUUAAAACAGGGACACAGCCACAUCAAUGUUUAUAACAGUACAAUUCAUACUAGCUAAAGUGUGGAACCAACCUAGAUAUCCUCCAAUAGAUAAAUGGAUAAAGAAACUGUGGUAUAUAUACACAAUGGAAUGUUACUCAGCAUUAAAAGAGAAUGAAAUCAUGGCAUUUGCAGGCAAAUGGAUGGAGCUAGAGAAUAUCAUGCUAAGUGAAGUAAGUCAAUGCCCAAAAAACCAAAGGCCAAAUGUUUUCUCUGAUAAAUGAUGGGGGGAGGCAUGGGAGGAAUGGAGGAACUGUGGGUAGAGCAAAGGGGAGGGAGGGCAUGGGGGUAGGGAAGAUGGUGGAAUGAGAUGGACAUCCUUACCCUAGGUUCGUGAAUGGUGUGACACACAAAUGGUGUGACUCUACUUUGUGUACAAUCAGAGAAAUAAAAAAUUGUGCUCCAUUUGUGUACUAUGAAUCAAAAUGCAUUCUGUCAUAUAUAAUGAAUUAGAACAAAUACAUAAAUAGAUAAAUAAAUAAGAAAAAAAUGGUUGCCCAGAGUGGGUGGUAGGAUGACUGAAAAUGAUUUUUCCAUUUCUGCCUCCUCUACUAUAAAUAUAUAUUGCUUUUAUCUUGAGCAAAAACAUAAAAAGUUAUGUUAUUAGUGAUGGAAGAAUUGGCCGUGGCAAUGAAAGAGCUCUACGGAUUGAAACAAGGGUGAUUCUGUGGGUUUAUGCAGCAGGAAUCUUUCCCCACCUCAUCUACUUGAAAAAAAUAAUCUUGAUUUGCUUCCUAUUAUUUUAUAUCCACGUUUUACUGUUGUGGUGGACAACAGUGAUGCUAACUUCACUAGUAUUUAAAUUAAACACAGUGCAGGUCAGAUUGGCAUUCCUCGGUAGGUAAAAUUAAGUAAAAAUAAGAGAUGAUUUGAAAAUCACUUUUAGUUAGUAGAUGAAGGAAAAGUCGUCAGCUGGCCACAUUCCUUCCUUAGGAAUCUCUUCAUUUUCAUCCUGGAAUUCAGUCCAUCUGGAGUAAUUGUUCCUUCUGACAGGGACAGGUACAGAGAGUAGGUUUGUUGUGGUUUGGCCGGCAAAGCCUGGCCAAACAUCGUUUGAAAUGAAGUCAUUUAUUUCUUGUUUGUUAGGCUAAAGCUCAUUGGAGUGGUGGGUAGAUUGUACUGUUAAUGUUUGUUUCUGGAACUCUUGAGAAGCUGCUUGUUACUGGAUAUGGCUUUAAACAGCCAGCUCCACUGUGAGCACGUUUCCUGGGACCCUUGUCUGCUGUCUGCAGAGGAAAGGGUCCGUCUGGCAUCACCUGUGAGUUUUGGGUUUCCUUCCUGUUUUUUUUCUGAGUCACUUUUCCUUAUUCUGGAACCUCAGCGAAACCCCCUGGGCCAGGUGCUUCAGGCUGGAGCUUCUGGCUGGCACAGCAGGGCCAGUGCACAAUGAAUGAUCAGGAAACCCCCAUUUCCCAUCUCUGGCAUCAGAAGGCAGGGGGUGGGAGUGCCAAACAUCUAAUUGCACUUGGAAAUUUUCUUCCCAAAGUUUAACUGGUCUGUCCUCUCUCUGCAGAGCAAUUUGGAUGAAAGAUGCAUGAACAUUUCAGCCGCUUUGGGAUUUCUCUGCAAAAGACCAUGCCAUCCGUUGGAGUCAGGGAGCAGGGCAGGCACUCCCUCUGGCCCCACACCUCCUGCUGCUGAUUAAGACUGAAUCACCUUUUUUCCCUUGUGAAAUUCAAGCCCCAGAAAUACCCAGAGAGAAAAUGUAUCCCUACAGCUGCGGCUGAUUCUCCCUCCUCUGGCCUCCUGACCUGUUUUGCUGUGUGGAUAGGAGCAGAAUGGUGAAUGGCUAUUUGUUCCCAGAAAUGCUAAGCCCUUGGCCUGGUCAGAAAGUCAGUAGUAGAGGUAUCUGGAAGGUUCUUUUGUUGAGUCAGAGAAAAAUCCCUUGAGAAGAGUGGGGCUAGGGCUUCCUGGGUCACAACCUACCAUGAAUCUGGCCGGCUUUUCUCAAGUGUAACAGGAAUAAAUCUAAAGAGGGUGAAGGUGCACACAAAGGGACCUUCUCUCCCUCUUGGCUUCCAGUAAAAAUAGUCCAUUAUGUGUAUUUUCCAUUGUUAAUCAAGAAUAUUGAGGAACCCAAGGCCUUGUUCCCAGUGUCCUGGGAUGUGCACGGAUGCCUGUGCCUGGGGCAGGGGCGGGGACUGACCUCAGGGCCCUUCACCUCUGAACCUGCUCCUGUCCUUGCCUGUGGAAAGGGGAUGGUUUCAGUAGCCACUGCACCAGCUCAGGGAGGAUGAAAGGAAAUAAUACAUGCAAUGUUCAGCACAGGACUGGGGACCUAUGAGAGAGCACUAGUGGUACUCUCAGAUACUCCAGAAGUACUCUGGGAGUACUCCUAGAUACUUACCAGGGAGUACCAUUGCUAAGUAAACCCUAGACUUCAAUGUCAUUUUUGCGGCAACAUCUGUCUCUAAUACAGUAGAAAUCGAAAUAAUCCACUUUUAUUUUCACCUGUUUGCACUUACCUUCUGUGUUAGGGACAUGUCAGAAUAUGCUCCCAUGGGAGCAGGCUGUCACUGUGGAAUUCUUCUAGUGCAUUCUAAUCUCCUAGAAAACCUGCAGAUGAGCCCCUGUGUCCCCCAGGACCAUGGAUCCCCUGGCACAUUGUGGCCUCUCAACCAGUGUUUGUGGAUGAUCGAUUAAGUCUUCAGUUUGCAUCUUCUCUCCCCCACUGUUAACCUACCAGAACCUUCCAGGCAGCAGAGAUGGUACAAAACAACUGCCUGCAGUUUUACAUUUUGAGGAUGGAGGACAAGCCUGUUGAAUAUUAAGAAGAGUAAGAAAUUUUAGAGAAUGGGCAUCAAUCCAGGAAGGGAGGUUCGCACUGACUUAUGAGGACCUUUCUCAUAAACAAAGCUACCGGAAACCUCAGUGGAUCCUGGAUGAUCUUUAAAUCCUUUGAAGCAUGUGUGAGCUGCGUGUGGUGGCUAGAGUGUGUUAGUGUGCAUGUGUGUUUGUGUGUUAUUGAGCUGGGGAAAGGAGUACAGAGCACAGGAGGCAGAGGACUUUGUAUGAGCUCACUACGGUCAUUUCACCUGUGCACUCUUCCCUGUGACCCGUCCUGGUCCCUGAGAGGCUCCCUGUCUUCCAGGAGUAGCUGCUGGUUGUGAGACCCUGAGAGCGAGCACCUGCCGCUUCCAGUCACAACUGAGUCCUCAGUUCCCAAAAUAGCACCAGGAUUCAGUAUGUGCCCAGUAAAUAUUUGUGGAUCUAAUAUUUGUUGGUUUGUUGAAGAAACAGACCCAUUACUUCAACCGUUUUCUCAAUUCCUCCAUAUGGAUGAACUCCACAUGGAACUUUUUUAUGCAUGCCCAUCAAUUUCUCAUGACUCCAGCCCAAUCUUUCACAGCCACACUACUCUACAGCAGCCACCAUGGUCUUAGAAAGGUACUGAAGGGUGUGUCUGGGUCAGGGUGGCAUUCGAGCAUUGGGGAGGGCAGGCCAGCCCAAGCGCACUUAGUAGGUCCUGUGCAGGGAUGGUGGAGGGGCAUCUCCUUAGAAGUCUGUAAAGAGGUGAGUGGCUUCCCAGGCCUCGAGUGAGCCCAGAUACUAUCUUGAGAAUAACAAGAGUG